rnacentral:rRNA from 1 species
AGUCGACGAUGAAUCUUCUAGCUUGCUAGAAGUGGAUUAGUGGCGCACGGGUGAGUAAUGCAUAGGUUAUGUGCCCUUUAGUCUGGGAUAGCCACUGGAAACGGUGAUUAAUACUGGAUACUCCCUACGGGGGAAAGUUUUUCGCUAAAGGAUCAGCCUAUGUCCUAUCAGCUUGUUGGUGAGGUAAUGGCUCACCAAGGCUAUGACGGGUAUCCGGCCUGAGAGGGUGAUCGGACACACUGGAACUGAGACACGGUCCAGACUCCUACGGGAGGCAGCAGUAGGGAAUAUUGCUCAAUGGGGGAAACCCUGAAGCAGCAACGCCGCGUGGAGGAUGAAGGUUUUAGGAUUGUAAACUCCUUUUGUUAGAGAAGAUUAUGACGGUAUCUAACGAAUAAGCACCGGCUAACUCCGUGCCAGCAGCCGCGGUAAUACGGAGGGUGCAAGCGUUACUCGGAAUCACUGGGCGUAAAGAGUGCGUAGGCGGGGUAAUAAGUCAGAUGUGAAAUCCUGUAGCUUAACUACAGAACUGCAUUUGAAACUGUUACUCUGGAGUGUGGGAGAGGUAGGUGGAAUUCUUGGUGUAGGGGUAAAAUCCGUAGAGAUCAAGAGGAAUACUCAUUGCGAAGGCGACCUGCUGGAACAUUACUGACGCUGAUGCACGAAAGCGUGGGGAGCAAACAGGAUUAGAUACCCUGGUAGUCCACGCCCUAAACGAUGGAUGCUAGUUGUUGCCUUGCUUGUCAGGGCAGUAAUGCAGCUAACGCAUUAAGCAUCCCGCCUGGGGAGUACGGUCGCAAGAUUAAAACUCAAAGGAAUAGACGGGGACCCGCACAAGCGGUGGAGCAUGUGGUUUUAUUCGAAGAUACGCGAAGAACCUUACCUAGGCUUGACAUUGAUAGAAUCUACU